AUUGAACGCUGGCGGAAUGCUUUACACAUGCAAGUCGAACGGCAGCACGGGGGCAACCCUGGUGGCGAGUGGCGAACGGGUGAGUAAUAUAUCGGAACGUGCCCAGUCGUGGGGGAUAACGUAGCGAAAGUUACGCUAAUACCGCAUACGAUCUACGGAUGAAAGCGGGGGAUCGCAAGACCUCGCGCGAUUGGAGCGGCCGAUAUCAGAUAAGGUAGUUGGUGGGGUAAAGGCUCACCAAGCCAACGAUCUGUAGCUGGUCUGAGAGGACGACCAGCCACACUGGGACUGAGACACGGCCCAGACUCCUACGGGAGGCAGCAGUGGGGAAUUUUGGACAAUGGGCGCAAGCCUGAUCCAGCCAUUCCGCGUGCAGGACGAAGGCCUUCGGGUUGUAAACUGCUUUUGUACGGAACGAAAAAGCCUUGGCUAAUACCCAGGGUCCAUGACGGUACCGUAAGAAUAAGCACCGGCUAACUACGUGCCAGCCGCCGCAGUAA
rnacentral:rRNA from 1 species